GGGUAGAGGGUUAGGUUAAGAGAUUAGGGGGUGUAAGGUUGGGGGUCAUGGUUUAGAGGUUAGAGUACAAGGACAGGUGUUAACAUUGAAGGUUAGGGAAUUAGGGUUUGGGUGAGGGGAUUAGGGUGUCCAAACUCGGUCCUCAAGGGACACUUGUCCUGACUGUUUUCCAAUUUUGCCAGGAGCAACACACCUGAUUCAAAUGAUCAGGAUUGUUCUAAUGCUGCUUCAGAGAUGGCUGAUGAGCUGAUCAUCUGAAUCAGGUGUGUUGCAGCUGGAAGAGGUGGAAAACAGGCAGGACAGUGGCCCUCCAGGCCCAGGGUUGGACAUGCCUGCAGUACGGAUGAGGGUUAGGGGUUGCGGUUGAAGCAGAGUUAAGGGUGAAGGGUUAGGAUUAGGGGCUAGCGGUUUAGGGGAUAAAAUGUUGGGUUACGGGGAUUAGGGUGGGAGAAUUCCAGGGGGGUGGGGGUUAGUGUUUUAGGUAAAUGGGUGUUCGGGUGAGAGGCUUAGGUUUUGGAGGGUUAGGUGUGAGGUUAGCGUUGUUAAGGUUUAGGAAGGUAGAAGGCGAGGACGUUUGGAUUUUAGGCAUUUAGGGUUAAGGGGUUAGAAUUAGGUGUUUUAGGUUAGGCAGUUAAGGUUUAGCUUCAGAUAAAUUGUAGGGCUAUAGUUAGGAUUAGAAGUUAGAGGGACUAGGGAUUCUUAAGAGUGGUGUUAGGUGUUAAGGUUUAGGAGUUUGGGUAAGGUGUAGGGUUAGAAUUUGAGGUGUUAGGUGUUUAGGCGUUAAGUGUUAGAAAGGAUUCCGGUUAGAGGUUAUGAUUCGAGGUUGGGGUAAAUAGGAGGGUCAGGUGUUUGGGUUCGGUGGUGAGAGCCUUUCAGCGGUUUGGUUUCAGCAUUUUGGUUAGGUGGGUUGUUUAUGGUUAGAGGGUUACGGGAGAAUUGGGUUCAGGUUCGCAAGAUUUGUCAGGUUAAGGGGAGCAUUAGCUGUUAGGGUUAGAGGAUUUAACAUUGGGUUAAGGAUUAUAGAGGUUAGGGUUCAGGGGAGUUUAGGGUCGGCGAUUUGAGGGUUUUGGUUUAGGUUAGUAGUGAGGGUACAGGGUUAGUGUUAAAGUUUAGUG